GAUGAAGAACGUAGUGAAAUGCGAUAAGUAGUGUGAAUUGCAGAAUUCAGUGAAUCAUCGAAUCUUUGAACGCACAUUGCGCCCUUUGGUAUUCCUUAGGGCAUGCCUGUUCGAGCGUCAUUUGAACCCUCAAGCUCAGCUUGGUGUUGGGUGUCUGUCCCCGCCCCGCGGGGACUCGCCUCAAAAACAUUGGCGGCCGGUACAUUGGCUUCGAGCGCAGCAGAAACGCGAACUCGGGCCCGUCGUAUUGGCUCCCAGAAGCUAUCUUCACAAUUUUGACCUCGGAUCAGGUAGGGAUACCCGCUGAACUUAAGCAUAUCAAUAAGCGGAGGA
rnacentral:misc_RNA from 1 species